GGGGUGGAGCAGUCUGGUAGCUCGUCGGGCUCAUAACCCGAAGGUCGUUGGUUCAAAUCCUUCCCCCGCAACCA
rnacentral:tRNA from 1 species